rnacentral:misc_RNA from 1 species
UCCGAGUCGACCCCGGCAGUCUCCUAUGAGUCCCCGCCAUGACGCGCUGGCAACAUAGAACGAGGGUUGCGCUCGUUGCGGGACUUAACCCAACAUCUCACGACACGAGCUGACGACAACCAUGCACCACCUGUGCAGGGCCCUUGCGGACCUCCCAUCUCUGAAGGAUUUCCGUGCAUGUCAAGCCUAGGUAAGGUUCUUCGCGUUGCAUCGAAUUAAGCAACAUGCUCCGCCGCUUGUGCGGGCCCCCGUCAAUUUCUUUGAGUUUUAACCUUGCGGCCGUACUCCCCAGGCGGAUAACUUAAUGCGUUAGCUGCGCCACCAAAACCCUAAGGGCCCUGACAGCUAGUUAUCAUCGUUUACGGCGUGGACUAC